GCUAGAAAGUAAUAUGUACAGUAAAAAUAUUACUUUUGAAAGGAGUAACUAGUAAUGAGUAAUAUAUUACAUUCUUUGAGUAACCAGCCCAACACUGCCAAUUACUGAUAAGCACAUCACUUAAAUGCCCACUCUGGGGCACAGAACAGCAAUGGAAUAUCAAUACCAUUUGUGUCAUUAAAACAAAGUGGAGGAUGUUCUUAAACCUGUAUUAGCAUUUGGGCAGACAUUUAAAACCAUUGUGCAGAUAACAGGCUGCUUUACAUGGCUUAGGAGAGUUGCAUUUACCUGAAGGGAAGAUUAAAGGGCAGAAGGACAAGACUGUAUUCUGACGCUUUUGGAAGCAUACAGAUUUGGUCUGCAGUUCCGCUUUCAGCUUCUAAGCAGGAAUGUAGGGAAGGAGGGGCCUCUCACCCCUCGUGAUCUUGAUGGUACUAGUCAUCCAAGGUAAGACCGUGGUGACAGUCCGAAUGAGGUUGAAAUAGAUCCUAAUUUAUGACUAUGACUGU
rnacentral:lncRNA from 1 species